AUGAACGCUGGCGGCGUGCCUAAUACCUGCAAGUCGAGCGAACAGACGAGGAGCUUGCUCCUCUGACGUUAGCGGCGGACGGGUGAGUAACACGUGGAUAACCUACCUAUAAGACUGGGAUAACUUCGGGAAACCGGAGCUAAUACCGGAUAAUAUAUUUAACCGCAUGGUUCAAUAGUGAAAGACGGUUUUGCUGUCACUUAUAGAUGGAUCCGCGCCGCAUUAGCUAGUUGGUAAGGUAACGGCUUACCAAGGCAACGAUGCGUAGCCGACCUGAGAGGGUGAUCGGCCACACUGGAACUGAGACACGGUCCAGACUCCUACGGGAGGCAGCAGUAGGGAACCUUCCGCAAUGGGCGAAAGCCUGACGGAGCAACGCCGCGUGAGUGAUGAAGGUCUUCGGAUCGUAAAACUCUGUUAUUAGGGAAGAACAAAUGUGUAAGUAACUAUGCACGUCUUGACGGUACCUAAUCAGGAAGCCACGGCUAACUACGUG
rnacentral:rRNA from 1 species